rnacentral:rRNA from 1 species
GUAUACAUCGGUUGGGACUGAGGAACUCAGCACGCCGAAAGGCCGGGUACUUGUACCACGUUCGUGCUUAGGAUGUUGGCAUAAUGGCUUUAAUCGA